rnacentral:rRNA from 1 species
AGGACGAACGCUGGCGGCGUGCUUAACACAUGCAAGUCGAGCGAGGCCCUCUCUUCGGAGAGGUGCCCUAGCGGCGAACGGGUGAGUAACACGUGGGCAACCUGCCCCUAGCACUGGGAUAAGCCCGGGAAACCGGGUCUAAUACCGGAUAUGACCUUCAAGGGCAUCCUCGAAGGUGUAAAGGAUUCUGGCUAGGGAUGGGCCCGCGGCCUAUCAGCUUGUUGGUGGGGUAAUGGCCCACCAAGGCAACGACGGGUAGCCGGCCUGAGAGGGCGACCGGCCACACUGGGACUGAGACACGGCCCAGACUCCUACGGGAGGCAGCAGUGGGGAAUAUUGCACAAUGGGCGAAAGCCUGAUGCAGCAACGCCGCGUGAGGGACGAAGGCUUUCUGAGUUGUAAACCUCUUUCAGCAGGGACGAUUGUGACGGUACCUGCAGAAGAAGCCCCGGCAACUACGCGCCAGCAGCCGC